UCUGCCUUGGACACUCAGAAGUGAGAGUCUCUUAGUAACCCCUUGAAAAGACCCAUUUCCUUACGUAUAAAAUGUGCAUGUGGCCCUUGUUUCUAGGGGGUCCUUGGAGGAUUCAGCAGAAUGGCACGUGCAGAGUCCUGAGCCCCUGUCUGCAAUAAUAACUCCCCCCCUUAUUGAGUGCCUGCCUGUGUGCGUGCCGUCCUUUGACAUUCGUCACAUGAGUCUCACAAACAGCCCUGGGAGGUAGAGGUACUUGUUAGCCUGCGCUUGAGGGAUGGGAAACUGGAACCCAGAGAGGCGAAGGGACUUGCCCAAAGUUACAAACUCACCUCAGAGAUGCCGCAGAGCAGAGGCCGUCGUGAGUAUCAUUUGACGGAUCAGAAGACAGAGUCGGAGAGGCAAAAUCACUGGUGAAUGGUCACACACAGACAGCAUUGCAGGUCUGUGUCUGUGAAAUCCUGGAGUGUCACUCUGCAAGUUCACCACGUCACCCAGCCCUCACAACAACCCCAUCGGGUAGAUGUUGUCACCCCAGUAAGCAUAUGAGAAAACUGAGAUUCAGGAUGGUGGACAGGACUUGUGCAGCGUUGCCGGGAAGCUCUGCAGUGACAACCGGUGAUCAUUUUUCAGGAGCACAGUCUAAAGCCCACAGCUGCUAAAAUUUAGCCAUGACCACUCAAACCCCCAUAUUCACCCACAGUUCUCACAUGAUGGGAAGAGGGAGCCGAGAAUUCCUUGGUGGCCCUUUGCUCAGAAGGGUGGAAUGUGGUCCUGGGGACUGUUCCUUGAGGGGGCACUAUUUGGAGAGCUUCCUGUGUGACUCCCGAGUGGGACCCAGGGGUCUGAUGUAGGCGCGGACGUCUAGAGGGGGAGAGGAAUGCGCUGCCCGGCUGCGUUGCCAAGGGAGCCGGAGAGUGUGGAUGCGCUAAGGUGAGCCCCACUCCCAGGCAUUUCAGGGCACAGGCUGCUCGAGUGUUUCCCAUGGACCAGCCAUGGGCAGGGAGCACCCACCCACAAGUGGCCAGCUUGGGUCCUGUCCCCUAGGGCUUCCUGGAGAGGUGGAGGGGUGACAGCAGCAAGAUGCUGGAGUUGGAGGUCGGACCCCUAAGGGCUGAGGAAGGAGCUGCCAGGGACCCUCGGGAGGAGAAGUGCAUCCCCCAAGGCCA